rnacentral:misc_RNA from 1 species
GAUGAAGAACGCAGCGAACUGCGAUAAGUAAUGUGAAUUGCAGAAUUCAGUGAAUCAUCGAGUCUUUGAACGCACAUUGCGCCCCCUGGCAUUCCGGGGGGCAUGCCUGUCCGAGCGUCAUUGCUGCCCUUCAAGCCCGGCUUGUGUGUUGGGUCGUCGUCCCCCCCGGGGGACGGGCCCGAAAGGCAGCGGCGGCACCGCGUCCGGUCCUCGAGCGUAUGGGGCUUUGUCACCCGCUCGAUUAGGGCCGGCCGGGCGCCAGCCGGCGUCUCCAACCUUCUAUUUUACCAGGUUGAUCUCGGAUCAGGUAGGGAUACCCGCUGAACUUAAGCAUAUCAAUAAGCGGAGGA